AGUUCAUUCGGCUUACGUCCGUCGACUCGAGCGGAGGUGUCGGAGUCCGCGCUUUUGACAAGAUCGUAAACAUCGGAGCGGCCAACGAGAAGUGUUCGAUUCGGUUUCGUAAAUAAGAAACACAGGUUUUUCGGUGCAAGCUCUGCUUUCGUUUGUUUCGUUUUCUGAAACUUGUGCGCCGCGUGAAACCGUUUGUGUAUUGACGCUGAAUGAUCGCGUUGGACGUGCUCGACGUUGGUUGAGUUGGACUAAGCAGCGGGAGGCGGACAUUCGAACUUCAAUGCGUUCGCUUGUAGACCGAAUUCAGGCGCUGAUAGAGCACCUGUUUGUGAUGAACUGUCAUUUGGAGUGGACAAAUUUAGGAAUGCAAAGAGCAGAAGGUGAACUCUGAAUGUAUUUAACAUUUAGCAGCAAGAAUAUUAAACGCGCGGCAUAAGUUUCUCGGUUCGUCAACAACUUUAUUACAUGUAACAAAAUCUGAAGAAAUUAUGCAGGGUAUUCGUGUGUAGUAUGGAAGAAGAAAUAUUUUUAUGAAUUUACGAUAUUCGUGGUUAUAUUACAUUCGUCGAUACAAAUUUUGUUUUUAUCAGUUUUGGAAAAAUGUGAAAAAAUUUAUGUAAUUGGCACAAACUUUGAUAUACACGUCGGAAUAAUUUUACCUUUACUCGCGAGACACCAGGAACUUGCAAACACAAAAUAUCUCUUCGGAACAAAUCUGUGUGUUGCCACUUAAAGACAGGACAGGACAGGACCGGACCGGACCCUGGCUGGACAGCUGCUUAAAAAAAAGUCAAAAUGAAGGUGUGAGAGACGAAGACGGUCUUUGGGCUCUUGGGAAUUUGUGAUCUCCGACCUGCCGCAAGAAACCCUCCCCAAUUGAGAGAAAGCAAUCCCCCCUUUUGGAUGGGCACCAUGAGGGGGUGUGAGGAGAAUGUACGUCAUCUUCCCUGCUGAAGAGGUCGUAGAAUUAACGCUAGGAAGAUCCAUUUUCCACCAGCACCAGCUGUUGCACCAGCAGUACGAACAGCAAUUGCAGGAAGGAUUGCACACCAUCAGCUUAUCCCAUCGAGAACUUGAAGAGCAUCAGGAUCUCGGGCACAGUUAUCCUUCAAGACCAGGAACUGUGUGGAGUCCAAAGAAAAGAGUACAACAGAAGAAUCAGAAGCCGAAAGCGAAUCAGAAGACGAGCAGAGGAGAAGACAAAAUGGCUGCCGGAGGUGACAUCACGCUACGAGACGUCAGCCAUCCGUCGUUA